rnacentral:rRNA from 1 species
GAGUUUGAUCUUGGCUCAGAUUGAACGCUGGCGGCAUGCCUUACACAUGCAAGUCGAACGGCAGCACGGGAGCUUGCUCCUGGUGGCGAGUGGCGAACGGGUGAGUAAUGCAUCGGAACGUAUCCUGGAGUGGGGGAUAACGUAGCGAAAGUUACGCUAAUACCGCAUAUUCUGUGAGCAGGAAAGCGGGGGACCUUCGGGCCUCGCGCUCUUGGAGCGGCCGAUGUCGGAUUAGCUAGUUGGUGAGGUAAAGGCUCACCAAGGCGACGAUCCGUAGCAGGUCUGAGAGGAUGAUCUGCCACACUGGAACUGAGACACGGUCCAGACUCCUACGGGAGGCAGCAGUGGGGAAUUUUGGACAAUGGGGGCAACCCUGAUCCAGCCAUGCCGCGUGAGUGAAGAAGGCCUCGGUGUAAGACUCUUCGUCGUACGGGAAGGAAAGUAGUACGACCGGACGAACUAACCUACGGUGUAGUAGU